UACGUAGGGACCAAGCGUUGUUCGGAUUUACUGGGCGUAAAGGGCGCGUAGGCGGCGUGACAAGUCACUUGUGAAAUCUCUGAGCUUAACUCAGAACGGCCAAGUGAAACUGUUGUGCUAGAGUGCGGAAGGGGCAAUCGGAAUUCUUGGUGUAGCGGUGAAAUGCGUAGAUAUCAAGAGGAACACCUGAGGUAAAGACGGGUUGCUGGGCCGACACUGACGCUGAUGCGCGAAAGCCAGGGGAGCAAACGGG
rnacentral:rRNA from 1 species